rnacentral:rRNA from 1 species
UACGUAGGGGGCUAGCGUUGUCCGGAUUUAUUGGGCGUAAAGAGCUCGUAGGCGGUUUGUCGCGUCUGCUGUGAAAACUGGAGGCUCAACCUCCAGCCUGCAGUGGGUACGGGCAGACUAGAGUGCGGUAGGGGGAGAUUGGAAUUCCUGGUGUAGCGGUGGAAUGCGCAGAUAUCAGGAGGAACACCGAUGGCGAAGGCAGAUCUCUGGGCCGUAACUGACGCUGAGGAGCGAAAGCAUGGGGAGCGAACAGG